UAGCGGCGAGUGAAGCGGCAAAAGCUCAAAUUUGAAAUCUGGCACCUUCGGUGUCCGAGUUGUAAUUUGAAGAUUGUAACCUUGGGGUUGGCUCUUGUCUAUGUUUCUUGGAACAGGACGUCACAGAGGGUGAGAAUCCCGUGCGAUGAGAUGCCCAAUCCUAUGUAAGGUGCUUUCGAAGAGUCGAGUUGUUUGGGAAUGCAGCUCUAAGUGGGUGGUAAAUUCCAUCUAAAGCUAAAUAUUGGCGAGAGACCGAUAGCGAACAAGUACAGUGAUGGAAAGAUGAAAAGAACUUUGAAAAGAGAGUGAAAAAGUACGUGAAAUUGUUGAAAGGGAAGGGUUUGAGAUCAGACUCGAUAUUUUGUGAGCCUUGCCUUCGUGGCGGGGUGACCCGCAGCUUAUCGGGCCAGCAUCGGUUUGGGCGGUAGGAUAAUGGCGUAGGAAUGUGACUUUGCUUCGGUGAAGUGUUAUAGCCUGCGUUGAUGCUGCCUGCCUAGACCGAGGACUGCGAUUUUAUCAAGGAUGCUGGCAUAAUGAUCCCAAACCGCCCGUCUUGAACCACGGACCACG
rnacentral:rRNA from 1 species